CGGGACGGGUUCAGUUAACGCGUGAGAAUCUAGCUCUAGGUCGGGGACAACCACUGGAAACGGUGGCUAAUACCGGAUGUGCCGAAAGGUGAAAGAUAUAUUGCCUAGAGAUGAGCUCGCGUCCUGAUUAGCUAGUUGGUAGUGUAAGAGACUACCAAGGCGACGAUCAGUAGCUGGUCUGAGAGGAUGAUCAGCCACACUGGGACUGAGACACGGCCCAGACUCCUACGGGAGGCAGCAGUGGGGAAUUUUCCGCAAUGGGCGAAAGCCUGACGGAGCAAUACCGCGUGAGGGAGGAAGGCUCUUGGGUUGUAAACCUCUUUUCUCAAGGAAUAAGAACUGAAGGUACUUGAGGAAUCAGCAUCGGCUAACUCCGUGCCAGCAGCCGCGGUAAUACGGAGGAUGCAAGCGUUAUCCGGAAUGAUUGGGCGUAAAGCGUCCGCAGGUGGCCCUGAAAGUCUGCUGUUAAAGAGCAAAGCUUAACUUUGUAAAAGCAGUGGAAACUACAGAGCUAGAGUGCGUUCGGGGUAGAGGGAAUUCCUGGUGUAGCGGUGAAAUGCGUUGAGAUCAGGAAGAACACCGGUGGCGAAGGCGCUCUACUAGGCCGCAACUGACACUGAGGACGAAAAGUUAUGAGU
rnacentral:rRNA from 1 species